GAUGAACGCUAGCGGCAGGCUUAACACAUGCAAGUCGAGGGGUAUAGUUCUUCGGAGCUAGAGACCGGCGCACGGGUGCGUAACGCGUAUGCAAUCUACCUUUUGCAGAGGGAUAGCCCAGAGAAAUUUGGAUUAAUACCUCAUAGUAUGUGAGAAUGGCAUCAUUUUCACAUUAAAGUCACAACGGCAAAAGAUGAGCAUGCGUCCCAUUAGCUUGUUGGUAAGGUAACGGCUUACCAAGGCAACGAUGGGUAGGGGUCCUGAGAGGGAGAUCCCCAACACGGGUACUGAGACACGGACCAGACUCCUACGGGAGGCAGCAGUGAGGAAUAUUGGACAAUGGGCGCAAGCCUGAUCCAGCCAUGCCGCGUGCAGGAUGACGGUCCUAUGGAUUGUAAACUGCUUUUGUACAGGAAGAAACACUGGUUCGUGAACCAGCUUGACGGUACUGUAAGAAUAAGGAUCGGCUAACUCCGUGCCAGCCGCCGCCGUAAAAC
rnacentral:rRNA from 1 species